rnacentral:rRNA from 1 species
ACUCCUACGGGAGGCAGCAGUGGGGAAUAUUGGACAAUGGGGGAAACCCUGAUCCAGCCAUGCCGCGUGUGUGAAGAAGGCCUUCGGGUUGUAAAGCACUUUCAGUGGGGAGGAAAGGUUACAGGUUAAUACCCUGUAGCUGUGACGUUACCCACAGAAGAAGCACCGGCUAACUCCGUGCCAGCAGCCGCGGUAAUACGGAGGGUGCAAGCGUUAAUCGGAAUUACUGGGCGUAAAGCGCGUGUAGGUGGCUUGUU